GGAUAAGAAUGUCCUGAGCUUCAAAUCUCUUCCCUGAUAAAAAGAGGGCUGCUGCUCUCAAGGAACUUCAGUCAAGGGGGAGUGGGGGAAGACAGUCCCAUACACAGACAAAAAACUAGGGGGUGAAAGGCCAAUGAGUGGUGGGAAGGAAAGGGAAAGAAGCUUCCAGAAGGCUAGGGGAUAAGAAUGCAGCAGUGAACACGGUUCCUGCACUCAUGAAGCAAAUGUAUCCACUGUGGUACAAAAGAGACUGUAAAAAACAAACCCAAAUGGACAACAGAGUUCUGAACCAUCCUGUGACAAGUCUAGUUACCCUAAAGCUGUCAUGCAGGAGAGACCAUGUGGAGAGAAGGAGAGUUAGAGAGAGGAGGAGCCCCUGCUGUUUGAGUAUUCUCAGCCCAGACACCAGACAUGAGUGAGGAAGCAUUCAGACCCCAACUCCAGUUUAAAAACACCACCACUCAACAGCCUGUUUUCUGAGCCUAUGACCACAUAUAUGCUGCAGAACCCUUUCAGGGUGUAUCUGAAACUACUUCUCUUAAAGGCAAGCUCUAACUGGUGCCAGAAAAGACAGAAGCUGAUUGAGGUCCCAGCUUGGUAACAGUUUGAAGAGUUGCAGGACUGGCUGGAUGAGUACUGGCUGCAGCAAGUCAGGCUGCCAGGAUUCUUUAUGGCUGUUUCUGCUUCCACUACAGCUGAGUCAGAAAGGUCGCUGCCCAGUGGUGGCACUAGACGCAGUGGACCUGG
rnacentral:antisense_RNA from 1 species